UGAGCUGUCCGGUAAUAGAAAGAAGCUGCAGAACCCUGUUGUCUUCAUCUUUUGUUUAACUCAUGCAACAUUUGAAAGCACGUUUGCCUACAAGAAAUAAAACUUAAGUUGUGAAAUGGCUUAUUAAUGAACUCAGAUGACAAGAAACCAAAACAGCGGGCCUGGCUGAAGGAUUCAUCCCUAGCCCUGAAAGCCAGCGGGGUCUUUCUGUAACAUCAAAGGCACAAACAAUUGAACCGACAUGGGGACUUAUUCUGUCCAGCAGCCCUGGUGGCCUCAGACCAUCCGAAGCAAGGGUAACCUACCAGAAAGCUGCUAGAUGUUCCCCACUACAGUGAAGGAUUAAACAAAGAAUGAAGAAGAAGUAGGACUCAAGAAGUAAAUGAUCCAACUCAAGAAAGAGAUGACCAAGUGGAAUACCUUUUAAAGGCUUCAAGACUUUUCUUUCCCACUCCUCCCUGCCCAUGCGAGGGAGGCUCCAUUUUAAAAUGUAACACACACACACAAAAAAACGGAUUUGAAAUAAGGCAUUAGCCUGAGGUAACUUACCCCCACCUUGGCUCCAGAGCAGCUUGGAUUUCCGAUUCUUUGAGCAGGUCAGUGAUUUGGGGAACCAGUAAAAGAGCCGGGCUAUUCUUCUGAAGGUCUCAUGAAAGUCACUUCUUAUGGCCAUAGCGAGAACCAGGAGUGUUCCAGAAUGACUCGCUACAGA
rnacentral:lncRNA from 1 species